rnacentral:rRNA from 1 species
AUCGGUGGACAGGUGGUGCAUGGUUGUCGUCAGCUCGUGUCGUGAGAUGUUGGGUUAAGUCCCGCAACGAGCGCAACCCCUAUUGUUAGUUGCCAUCAUUCAGUUGGGCACUCUAGCGAGACUGCCGGUAAUAAACCGGAGGAAGGUGGGGAUGACGUCAAAUCAUCAUGCCCCUUAUGACCUGGGCUACACACGUGCUACAAUGGUUGGUACAACGAGUUGCGAGUCGGUGACGGCGAGCUAAUCUCUUAAAGCCAAUCUCAGUUCGGAUUGUAGGCUGCAACUCGCCUACAUGAAGUCGGAAUCGCUAGUAAUCGCGGAUCAGCACGCCGCGGUGAAUACCGGUUCCCGGGCCUU